rnacentral:rRNA from 1 species
GACGAACGCUGGCGGCGUGCUUAACACAUGCAAGUCGAGCGGUAAGGCUCCUUCGGGAGUACACGAGCGGCGAACGGGUGAGUAACACGUGAGCAAUCUGCCCAUCUCUUUGGAAUAAGCGUUGGAAACGACGUCUAAUGCCGAAUACGACCUCCUUUCGCAUGAUCGGAGGUGGAAAGCUCCGGCGGAGAUGGAUGAGCUCGCGGCCUAUCAGCUAGUUGGUGAGGUAACGGCCCACCAAGGCGACGACGGGUAGCCGGCCUGAGAGGGUGACGGCCACACUGGGACUGAGACACGGCCAGACUCCUACGGGAGGCAGCAGUGGGGAAUAUUGGACAAUGGGCGAAAGCCUGAUCCAGCAACGCCGCGUGAGGGAUGACGGCCUGG